GACACAGUGGCGGAGUGGUUAACGCGCAUCCCUGCUAUAAUUGCUGCUCCACAAGGGCUCUAUAACCUUUGUUAGGAUGUCUCCUCGGAGGCGCAGGUUCGAAUCCUGUCUGUGUCG